rnacentral:rRNA from 1 species
AACCCUCGCUGUGUGUUAUAUGUGUCACACGGGACUGCCGGUCUUAAGCCGGAGGAAGUGGGGAUGAUGUCAAGUCAGCAUGGCCUUUAUAUCCUGGGCUACACACACGCUACAAUGGCCAAACACAAUAGGUUGCUAAGCCGCGAGGUGGCGCCAAUCCAUAAAGUUGGUCUCAGUUCAGAUUGUAGGCUGCAACCCGCCUGCAUGAAGAUGGAGUUGCUAGUAACCGCAGGUCAGCUAUACUGCGGUGAAUACGUUCCCGGGGCUU